rnacentral:misc_RNA from 1 species
GAAGCUCGGGAAUCGCCAAAAAGAAUUCCGAUCCCUAAAAUUGCAGUUGAGGAAGGCUCGGACGUUGAAGGAGCUGUGACCAAGAAGGCCACUGCUGCAAGAAUGAAAAAACAGCUGUCAACCGAACUGCAGCAAAAAAAGACCGGUACGAGCAGAUCUUGAAAAAGCAGAUGAGCCACGCUCUCCGACAGAACUCGGAACAAACUCGAAAAACGCGACUGAGUUCAUCAUCAAGCUCGGAUGACUCUCUCGUGUCCAGCUCAGAAGUAACAGAAGAGAAGAAAAAAACCAAAUUUUGGAAAAAGAGAUGCAAGGAGCUGCGGCAAGACAACAUCUUCUUGCAAGAACAAGUUAGCUCACAGCAGGUGCUGUUAAACUCAAAAUUUCUGAGGUUUGAAGACCUGCAGCACAGCAAAGAGGCUGACGUUGAGAGCUGCACUGUACAAGCUAGAAAGGAGACAGCAAAGGCCACAAGCAACCUAGUAAAGUCCAUUCAAGAGACUGUGCCUGGGUCACCGAAUGCUGGCAGUCUACACUCACGAAGUGCCAUUGAUGACUUCAUAGAGGAACCUCCCACUUCGAUGACUGCAUGUGCAGCAAAAGAAUCUGAUGACCUGCCUAGUCCAAGGAAAUGUUUUUCAUAUUUAGAAGAUGGCUCUAUCCCUUCACAUUGACAUCCCGUAUAAUCAUGUGAUUUUGGGACAUGAAACCCAUGAUAUUAUUAUAAGCCGUGUGAAACAAACUGCCUGCCGAACAGCUCAGAGGUGCCUCCACAAUAACGAUGUGCAGCUACUUGGCAUGUUGCCAAUGACAGUGGUGCAAAACAGCAGCAGUUGUUGUUUCAUCUUCAAAAGGGCAUCUGCCUGACGCCUAUUCAGGCAAAAAGAAUUCUGUCUCACAAGAAGGCAAGGCUGGUGGUGAAGGAAACGG